GAUAGAAGGAGAUAUGGCUUAUAAGGGACCGUAUUUUCCCUACUGUCACACAGUAGAUGACCGUGAGGGAUACUCUAAACUCUGCACUUGAUGAAGAAAUGUCUGUUGAUCAAAAAAAAAAAAAAA